rnacentral:rRNA from 1 species
GUGGGGAAUAUUGGACAAUGGGCGAAAGCCUGAUCCAGCCAUGCCGCGUGUGUGAAGAAGGUCUUCGGAUUGUAAAGCACUUUAAGUUGGGAGGAAGGGUAGUAACCUAAUACGUUGCUACUUUGACGUUACCGACAGAAUAAGCACCGGCUAACUUCGUGCCAGCAGCCGCGGUAAUACGAAGGGUGCAAGCGUUAAUCGGAAUUACUGGGCGUAAAGCGCGCGUAGGUGGUACAGUAAGUUGGAAGUGAAAUCCCCGGGCUCAACCUGGGAACUGCUUUCAAAACUGCUGAGCUAGAGUACGGUAGAGGGUGGUGGAAUUUCCUGUGUAGCGGUGAAAUGCGUAGAUAUAGGAAGGAACACCAGUGGCGAAGGCGACCACCUGGACUGAUACUGACACUGAGGUGCGAAAGCGUGGGGAGCAAACAGGAUUAGAUACCCCAGUAGUCC